ACAUUUUCUGGGCUUGAUGAAUCUCAUCUGCAAGAAGAUGAAUCCACUGUGGUUCUUCCUCUUUCUGGUGGCAGCUCCCAGAGGUGUCCUGUCCCAGGGGCAGCUGCAGGAGUCGGGACCCAGCCUGGUGAAGCCCUCCCAGACCCUCUCCCUCACCUGCACUGUCUCCGGAUUCUCAUUAACCAGUUAUGGUGUAGGCUGGGUCCGACAGGCUCCAGGAAAGGGGCUGGAGUAUGUUGGUGCAAUAUGCAGUGGUGGAAGCGCAUAUUAUAACCCAACUCUGAAGUCCCGGCUCAGCAUCACCAGGGACACCUCCAAGAGCCAAGUCUAUUUAUCACUGAGCAGCCUGACAACUGAAGACACCGCCGUGUAUUACUGUGCAAGCAACACAGUGCUGGUGCAGGAAUCGGGCCCAGGACUAUUGAAGACACUCUCCCUCACCUGCUCAGUCUCUGGAUUCUCCAUCACAAACAGUGCUGAUUGCUGGGACUGGAUCCCUCAGCCCCCAGGGAAAGGGCUGGGGUGA